AGGGUUUUAAGUUAAGUAAACUAUAAGCCUUCAAAGCUUAAAAUAAGAGCCGAUUUCUUAGACCCUG
rnacentral:tRNA from 1 species